rnacentral:misc_RNA from 1 species
AAACGUACUAAUUGAGUACUAACUCAAAUCUAACGCGAAUGUAGUAGUUGAAGUGAAAUUAACAUCUAGUGCCUCAAUCAUGAUAGUACAAUACAUCUGCAUACUUAAACUGAACCACCCUAAGUUUGUUAAUCCAUUGCUCAAUUUCAAAGAAUAUUUAAGUUGACCUUAAGUUAAGUCUACGUUAGAUUUUCAAGUCAACUGGAAGCCAUCUCAAAUCUGGUAAAUGAGAUUUGAUUCAAUUUCGAUCGGCUGGAAAAGAGAACCGAUCCCACGAGGAUUGAAUAGUAACGAAGGCGAUGCGCAACGAGUCCAAUGAGAGGAAUUGCGACUUUUCCAUUUCCCGAUCCAAUGGAUUCUUACUGGCAAAUAUGAAUGAAGAACACCGAGUGAAAUCCUUUAACCAUCGUUAUCAGCCAAUAAAAAUAUUUGCACGAUGAGAUAAAUGGAGUGUGAACUAGUUUGCAAAUAAUUACAUCUAAAUCGGCCGGUUACGUCAUCGUAAAAAGUGAAAAUGGAAGUGACGACGCGACGUGCGUCGAAGAUGAAUGAAAAUGCAUAUGCAUCGUCACGCGUCAAGUGCUCAAUGAACGUCGUAACACUUAUUGUUGAGUGAUAAAACCACUACCAAGUUUCUAGCUCGCCUAUGCAAACUAUAUUCGACGAUGAACUCAAUGAUAAAAUUGACAGCACGUCUUUAACCCUUUUGCGACUACCAAUUGCUAUACACAAUGUCGAUGGC